GAUGAAGAACUCAGCGAAAUGCGAUACUUGGUGUGAAUUGCAGAAUCCCGUGAACCAUCGAGUCUUUGAACGCAAGUUGCGCCCGAAGCCAUUAGGCCGAGGGCACGCCUGCCUGGGCGUCACACGUCGUUGCCCCCCCAUCUACUCCUUCGGGAUUGCGGGGGGCGGAUGAUGGCCUCCCGUGCGCCUCGCCGCGCGGUUGGCAUAAAUGCCAAGUCCUCGGCGACGCACGCCACGACAAUCGGUGGUUGCGAAACCUCGGUUGCCCGUCGUGUGCGGUCGUCGCGCAUCGAGGGCUCGAAAAAAUUGCCGGGUUCCGGCUCGGCUUUCAACGCGACCCCAGGUCAGGCGGGAUUACCCGCUGAAUUUAAGCAUAUCAAUAAGCGGAGGA
rnacentral:misc_RNA from 1 species